rnacentral:misc_RNA from 1 species
AACGCACCUUGCGCUCCUUGGUAUUCCGAGGAGCAUGCCUGUUUGAGUGUCAUUAAAUUCUCAACUUCAUCAGUUUUGUUAUGAAAUUGUGUGAAGCUUGGAUAAUGGGGGUUUGCAGAAUGCGUUACAGUGUACUGCUCCCCUUAAAUGAAUUAGCGAGUUCGAACUGGGCUCUGUCUAUUGGUGUGAUAAUUAUCUACGCCAUGGAUUGGGCUUAGACUUGCUUCUAACUGUCUGAAAAGACAACUCUUUUUGAAAAUUUGACCUCAAAUCAGGUAGGACUACCCGCUGAACUUAA